UGGGGAAUAUUGCACAAUGGGCGCAAGCCUGAUGCAGCCAUGCCGCGUGUAUGAAGAAGGCCUUCGGGUUGUAAAGUACUUUCAGCGGGGAGGAAGGUGUUGAGGUUAAUAACCUCAGCAAUUGACGUUACCCGCAGAAGAAGCACCGGCUAACUCCGUGCCAGCAGCCGCGGUAAUACGGAGGGUGCACGCGUUAAUCGGAAUUACUGGGCGUAAAGCGCACGCAGGCGGUCUGUCAAGUCGGAUGUGAAAUCCCCGGGCUCAACCUGGGAACUGCAUUCGAAACUGGCAGGCUAGAGUCUUGUAGAGGGGGGUAGAAUUCCAGGUGUAGCGGUGAAAUGCGUAGAGAUCUGGAAGAAUACCGGUGGCGAAGGCGGCCCCCUGGACAAAGACUGACGCUCAGGUGCGAAAGCGUGGGGAGCAAACA
rnacentral:rRNA from 1 species